UAGUCUCACCUGUAUGAAAGUAAAGUUUCGGAUUGUCAAUUUGGAUAUCUACAUAUUUAGUCGAUUUUUUUUAAAAGUAAUUUGGAAAAUAUGACUUGAUUUAGAUUGUUUGAAAUUCAUUUGAAUUUUAAUCAUUUCUGUUCAAAAUGUAUACAUCAGAUUGUUUUGGUUAGCCACCAACUUCUGAUAAUUUGACACACACAUUAAUUUCGGAAGUAAUGAUUAUAUCAUUAAACUGUCUUCAUUACUGAUUGAAAUAUAGAUUUAAAAUGAAAAUAAGUUAAUGAUAUACAGUCAAAAAGAGCAAAUGACCAAUGAUGAUGGCUGCCAUUAAUGCCAGUUUUUCUUUAUAGAUAUUUUGAAAGAAAAACAAAUUAAAGUAGCAAAUUUUUUAAGUUUUAUAUUUGGUUCAAUAUUUUUGAACUUAUUUUGUUUUUGUUUCAGAUACCAGCCCCAGGAUAUUUACGUCAGGACAGGUAACAUAUGCAUCGGAAAGUAAGUAUAUUUUUUUUUAUUUAUUAAUAGUUAUCUAAUAGAUAUUAAAAUAAUUUGAAUAUGUAUUACAGAUAGACGGGAGCCAACAAAGAAGAAGAAGACAGUACAGUCCUAGACAUGGAGAUGAUUAAAUUGUAGAUGCCAAGAUGAUGAUGUAGGUAUUUUGUUGUUACAAUUGUACUUAAACUGUUAAUAGUUGUAAGGUAAUAAAAUCAGUUUUCUCUGGAGAAACAGCUUGAAAAUUUAUUACAAAUUAGUCCAAAAUUUCUUUUCAAAUUUAUACUCUAAUGAAAAAAGUAUACUUGUACUCCAAUUUAGGAUUGGAAUUAAAACAUGCAUCACAUUAAUUUCUGAAUUAAUCAUAACAGCAAAUAGUCUCUUAACAAUGACAAUUUGGAAACCCUUUCUCUAAUAGUCUCACCUGUACGAAAGUAAAGUUUCCGAUUGUCAAUUUGGAUAUCUACAUAUUUAGUCGAUUUUUUUUUAAAGUAAUUUGGAAAAUAUGACUUGAUUUAGAUUGUUUGAAAUUCAGUUGAAUUUUAAUCAUUUCUGUUCAAAAUGUAUACAUCAGAUUGUUUUGGUUAGCCACCAACUUCUGAUAAUUUGACACGCACAUUAAUUUCGGAAAUAAUGAUUAUAUCAUUAAACCGUCUUCAUUACUGAUUGAAAUAUAGAUUUAAAAUGAAAAUAAGUUAAUGAUAUACAGUCAAAAAGAGCAAUUGACCAAUGAUGAUGGCUGCCAUUAAUGCCAGUUUUUCUUUAUAGAUAUUUUGAAAGAAAAACAAAUUAAAGUAGCAAAUUUUUUAAGUUUUAUAUUUGGUUCAAUAUUUUUGAACUUAUUUUGUUUUUGUUUCAGAUACCAGCCCCAGGAUAUUUACGUCAGGACAGGUAACAUAUGCAUCGGAAAGUAAGUAUAUUUUUUUUUAUUUAUUAAUAGUUGUCUAAUAGAUAUUAAAAUAAUUUGAAUAUGUAUUACAGAUAGACGGGAGCCAACAGAGAAGAAGAAGACAGUACAGUCCUAGACAUGGAGAUGAUUAAAUUGUAGAUGCCAAGAUGAUGAUGUAGGUAUUUUGUUGUUACAAUUGUACUUAAACUGUUAAUAGUUGUAAGGUAAUAAAAUCAGUUUUCUCUGGAGAAACAGCUUGAAAAUUUAUUACAAAUUAGUCCAAAAUUUCUUUUCAAAUUUAUACUCUAAUGAAAAAAGUAUACUUGUACUCCAAUUUAGGAUUUGAAUUAAAACAUGCAUCACAGUAAUUUCUGAAAUAAUUAUAACAGCAAAUAGUCUCUUAACAAUGACAAUUUGGAAACCCUUUCUCUAAUAGUCUCACCUGUACGAAAGUAAAGUUUCCGAUUGUCAAUUUGGAUAUCUACAUAUUUAGUCGAUUUUUUUUUAAAGUAAUUUGGAAAAUAUGACUUGAUUUAGAUUGUUUGAAAUUCAGUUGAAUUUUAAUCAUUUCUGUUCAAAAUGUAUACAUCAGAUUGUUUUGGUUAGCCACCAACUUCUGAUAAUUUGACACGCACAUUAAUUUCGGAAAUAAUGAUUAUAUCAUUAAACCGUCUUCAUUACUGAUUGAAAUAUAGAUUUAAAAUGAAAAUAAGUUAAUGAUAUACAGUCAAAAAGAGCAAUUGACCAAUGAUGAUGGCUGCCAUUAAUGCCAGUUUUUCUUUAUAGAUAUUUUGAAAAAAAAACAAAUUAAAGUAGCAAAUUUUUUAAGUUUUAUAUUUGGUUCAAUAUUUUUGAACUUAUUUUGUUUUUGUUUCAGAUACCAGCCCCAGGAUAUUUACGUCAGGACAGGUAACAUAUGCAUCGGAAAGUAAGUAUAUUUUUUUUUAUUUAUUAAUAGUUGUCUAAUAGAUAUUAAAAUAAUUUGAAUAUGUAUUACAGAUAGACGGGAGCCAACAGAGAAGAAGAAGA